CCGGGGCUCCAUCCUCCUCCACCCCGCCCUGCUCCUCCUGCAGGGGCCAGACCACCGGCGGGGGCUACCAGUGCAGUGUGUGCACCUCCUGCACGCUGUGUGAGCCCUGCAGCUUCUCUCAUGACCCCAGUCACAACCUGGUGCGAGCCAGAACCCCCCUGUCCAUCCCGGAGCACGGCUCCCCGGCCCCGGACCACAGCAGGUUCUACCGGCGGGGCGACCGGAGCUUCCGGAAGGCGGAGAAGCAGCGGCUGAAGGCGGAGAAGCGCCUCCUGAAGGCCGAGGUCAAAG
rnacentral:lncRNA from 1 species